rnacentral:lncRNA from 1 species
GUUGGCCUUUUGUGUACCCAAGACAGGUGAAGGAAGUCAACUUAGGAGGGCUGUGAUUGGAUGUAAGGGUACAAUAUAUUUUUUUAUUUAUCUAUGAAUAACUGCAGUGUGUAAAUUUACAAUAUAAAUUUUAAAACCUAUUGAAAUAUUUUCUAGAGAAUUAUUCGAAAAGGCUUUCAAAAUUUCAUAAAUUUGGUUCAAAAUGACGGUGGGCAUGGAUAACAUAAACAAGCUCUGUUGGAAAUUGGUCAUGAUACUAUUUGGCUUCAAUUUUUAAACUAGAUUAAUAAAGUACUAACA